UAAAUAAUAAGUUAAGAAAACUAUUGCCGUUCAAAGGCAAAAAUGGAAUCAUCCUUGUUUCU
rnacentral:tRNA from 1 species